CCCCCAGCAAGCACAAGUAUUGGGGGUAAUGCCUGCCCAGUGACACUGUUAAACGGCCGCGGUAUCCUAACCGUGCAAAGGUAGCGUAAUCACUUGUCUUUUAAAUAAAGACUAGAAUGAAUGGCCAAACGAGGCUCUACCUGUCUCUUACAAAUAAUCAGUGAAAUUGAUCUUCCCGUGCAAAAGCAGGAAUAAUCACAUAAGACGAGAAGACCCUGUGGAACUUCAAAUAUAAGAUCAACUAUAACUAACACUUACCCAACAGGCCUAUUUACCAAAUAGUUUUUGAUCUUUACUUUCGGUUGGGGCGACCUCGGAGAAAAACAAAACCUCCGAAAAACAAAGAACUUCUUCUAACCUAGAAUAACAGUUCAAAGUGCUUCCGGCAAAACGAUCCAAUAUAAUUGAUCAACGAACCAAGCUACCCCAGGGAUAACAGCGCAAUCCCAUUCUAGAGUCCCUAUCGACGAUGGGGUUUACGACCUCGAUGUUGGAUCAGGACAUCCUGAUGGUGUAGCCGCUAUCAAGGGUUCGUUUGUUCAACGAUU
rnacentral:rRNA from 1 species